rnacentral:rRNA from 1 species
GACGAACGCUGGCGGCGUGCUUAACACAUGCAAGUCGAACGGAAAGGCCCUGCGUUUGUGGGGUUCUCGAGUGGCGAACGCGGGAGUGACACGUGAGUAACCUGCCCUUGACUUUGGGGUAACUUCAGGAAACUGGGGCUAAUACAGGAUAGGAUCUCCUGCUGCGUGGUGGGCAUUGGAAAGUUUCGGCUGUUGGGGCUGGACUCGCGGCUUAUCAGCUUGUUGGUGGGGUAGUGGCUUCCCAAGGCUUUGAAGGGUAGCCGGCCUGAGAGGGGGAACGGCGACAAUGCGCCUGCGGGACGGAGCAGUCUCCUACGGGAGGCAGCAGUGGGGAACCUUGCACAAUGGGCGGAAGCCUGAGGAGGAAGCGUCGCGUGCGGGAUGCCGGCUUUCGGGGUGUGAACAGCUGUCGCCUGAGACGAAGCGGGAGUGACGGUAAUGGGUAAAGAAGCACCGGCUAACUACGUG